CUGGGAGGACCAUCUCCUAAGGCUAAAUACUCUCUAGUGACCGAUAGUGAACCAGUACCGUGAGGGAAAGGUGAAAAGCACCCCGGAAGGGGAGUGAAAUAGAACCUGAAACCGUGUGCUUACAAGUAGUCAGAGCCCGUUAAUGGGUGAUGGCGUGCCUUUUGUAGAAUGAACCGGCGAGUUACGAUUUGAUGCAAGGUUAAGCAGUAAAUGUGGAGCCGUAGCGAAAGCGAGUCUGAAUAGGGCGUUUAGUAUUUGGUCGUAGACCCGAAACCAGGUGAUCUACCCUUGGUCAGGUUGAAGUUCAGGUAACACUGAAUGGAGGACCGAACCGACUUACGUUGAAAAGUGAGCGGAUGAACUGAGGGUAGCGGAGAAAUUCCAAUCGAACCUGGAGAUAGCUGGUUCUCUCCGAAAUAGCUUUAGGGCUAGCCUCAAGUGAUGAUUAUUGGAGGUAGAGCACUGUUUGGACGAGGGGCCCCUCUCGGGUUACCGAAUUCAGACAAACUCCGAAUGCCAAUUAAUUUAACUUGGGAGUCAGAACAUGGGUGAUAAGGUCCGUGUUCGAAAGGGAAACAGCCCAGACCACCAGCUAAGGUCCCAAAAUAUAUGUUAAGUGGAAAAGGAUGUGGCGUUGCCCAGACAACUAGGAUGUUGGCUUAGAAGCAGCCAUCAUUUAAAGAGUGCGUAAUAGCUCACUAGUCGAGUGACACUGCGCCGAAAAUGUACCGGGGCUAAACAUAUUACCGAAGCUGUGGAUUGUCCUUUGGACAAUGGUAGGAGAGCGU
rnacentral:rRNA from 1 species